rnacentral:rRNA from 1 species
GACGAACGCUGGCGACGUGCUUAACACAUGCAAGUCGAACGAAGUGGCGAACGGGUGAGUAAUACGUGGAUAACCUGCCCUCCUUUUUUGGAUAAGCCUUGGAAACGGGGUCUAAUACCGAAUAAAGGGGGAUGGGCUCGCGGCCUAUCAGGUUGUUGGUGGAGUGAUGGCCUACCAAGGCGGUGACGGGUAGCCGGCCUGGGUGGCUGACAGGCCACAUUGGGACUGAGAUACGGCCCAGACUCCUACGGGAGGCAGCAGCGAGGAAUCUUGGGCAAGGGGCGAAAGCCUGACCCAGCAACGCCGCGUGAAGGAUGAAGGCUUUCGGGUUGUAAACCUGUGUCGGUACCUGUGGAAUAAGCUUCGGCUAACUACGUGCCAGCCGGCGCGGUAAUAA